GUCAGGAGGAAUCUGGGCAGCUGCGGGCAGCCACGGUCUCACUCCCCAUCCCCGUGGGGCUCCGGCUGAGGACGCGGUGCGGUCACCAAAGGAAGAUGAGUCAGGCCGGGGUGCGGGCGCCCUGACUCGCGCAUCUGGGGGACGCGGCCGCCGCCAUCGGACGAGCGCAGCCCCUAUCCUUCUAGGGUACCGGUGACCGAGGCCAGGGCAAAAGAUCGCAGCUAAGGCGUCUCCGCCGCCGCCAAGAAAGACAAAAGGAAUGCGGGGCUCGAGGGAAAGUUUUGGGCUUGGUUCCUGAUGAAUUCUAGCCCCCGAAGCCGCCAAGAGGAGGAUCGGGGGCGAGGGCGGGACGGGCUUCCCGGAGCGUCGCCAGCAGCCGGGGACCCAGACGGUGCUAAUCGCACCGCCGCCCACGACCCGUGGGAACUCCGCCGGCCCAGUCGCCAAGCUGUGCAAGAGCUGCGUGCAGGACCCACCCUUCCCCCCGGACCCCAACCCAGCUACCCGGCGCCCUGGCUGCAAAGUUGUACUUCUAGCGCCGGGAUGGCGCCCAUACAAAACCCAUUUGGGGAACAAAGUACCGCUUCCAGGCGAUCUGCUUCAUCUGAAGGCCAGCGGGCGGAAGCGGACACACCCACUCGCUUCUCAUCACCGUCGGACGCGAGUUCCAGAACGGGAGAUACCUGCCCCUCCUGUCUCAAUAAGAACUGGGGAUCCCCGGCGGACUCUGUAUUUUCUGGAAGAAGGAUCCAUAGGCCCCUCGGUUCCACGCCCCUCGGAUGCUUUCUUAUCAGAUGCAGCCUGGGAGGGUCGGGGUCCCCCUGGCGGCUGCACGAGUGCUGUGCUAACAAAGUCAGACCUGGACCCCCAAGAGAUACUGCACUCCUAGCCCUCAGAGGGUUUAAGCUGCUGGGAAGUUAGUUCCAGUAGAGCAGACUGGUUGGGAAGGGUUCUGGGCAUGGGGUUGUGAGGGGCAGGGGCUAAUUGUAUCCUAAGAUGAUGAGUCUGAGGCUAAGCUCCAGAUAUCAAAUCCAAUGAAGGCUUCAAGUUACCAAAAAUUAUCAGUGAGAAAAAAAAAAACAUGUCCUGUCCAUAGAAUGAAAUAAUUGAAAUAAUAGUCACGUGCAAUUCUGCAAGGGACCAAAGCGCCCACUCUGGCUGAAGAUCAAGUCAGUAAAUAAAGUUUCGUAUUC